GUUGGCCGAGCGAUUUGUGCUUGUGUAGGGCCCUAAAGAUUCUCCUCCUUGGUGGGUUGUAUGUAAUACGAUGAAUAAUGAAUGAGUGACUUAACAAAAUGUGUGUUCUGUUGUUGUUACGUGAUGUCCCAACUGUAUUGCAUGGUACCAAUUAUUAUUGCUUUUCCAUAGUAAACUGUACGAGACAUAUAUUCUGAAUGUUUGUGUAUGAUACGGAUUGCUAUUGAGUUAUCAAGUGUGUUUUCAAUAAGCUGACAAGAUGCUGCUGUGGAUGUAUUAUGUUCGUACAUUGGUACUUCUGCGUACGCGUAACGCAGCGUCUGCUUCUGUUCGGCAGUCAUCAUUUUGUGUUGGUAUGUGCUUUUAGAAUAUUGGAAUCGAGAGGUAUCAUGUAUCAGUUGUACGAGUGUUGUGGAGAAAGUGGACUAACUGGCGAAACAUUUGCAAUCAUCGUGAGUUCCUUCAUUCAACGAUGUAAACGGCUUCUUACAGUAGAUGACCCGAGUCUUUCAGUUGUUCUGACGAUCAUGUGUGUUUCGCUUCUGACUUGUACUGUAAUCAUGCUCCAUAAACGGCAUGGUCACGAUAACACCUUAAGAACAAGCACAUUGCUUUUUCCACAAAACGGUGAUAACGGGACCACCAGAAACGUUAAGAUUUCUUAGGAAGAAUGAAAUGUUUGGACUACGUCUAUCAAAACAUAAAAAUGUAAAUGGUGUGAAAUAUUGCUGUAAUCAGUGCCUUUGGAGAAGGGAGUUCCGAAAAACUUAAUUACGUUGAAAGUGAAUAGGGGCAGUGUCGUCGCCCGAUUUGCUGAUCUACAGUUGGUUCAAUACAUGGCUGUGCCCUGUGUACAGUGAAUUUAUUUGCAGCCAAUUCUGAUAACUUUGACAUUCCGAGUUGAUUUCUUGGUUGUAACCGUUGGUACGAAAUUCCCCAAUAAUUCUAAUUUGUAUAAGUAUCGUGGGAAUUUAGAUGUUAAAUUGAUGUGACUACUGUAAUCAUCUAAAACAAUGUCUUAGUAAUUACACUUGACAUCAAGAAAUUAAAUUCGUCAAUGGAGACUGAUCACUGCAAUCCAUCAUAAUGUUUCAUAAGUCAAUAUUGCACAUUAGCAGGCCUUUGUCAACCUGUUUGCAGUUGUCUCAGGAAAUCUACCUCAUUUCAGGGUCUCAUUUUGCCCACACAAGUGGCAUAAAGGUAGUGGGCUGCAGGGCUCCUGCCACCAGCAAGCCAGUGGGAGCCUAACAGUGUCAGCUCCCACUAUGUUGCCACUUCUGCUGAGGUUUGCUGCCUGAAGAACUGUGCCAGCAAGUCAUUGUCAUGAGAAAUUUGAUGCCUUGGUAUAUGAUGAAAGCAGUCAAAAGAGGGACAGGCCAAGGGUGCACACUCCUAGGAAACUUUCAAAAAGUGUCAGACAUGACGAGUUUACACACGGUCAGUUGUGUGAAUUUGUGUGUUUCAUGAGGGAGCAUUUUGAAAGACAGAGGGAAGGAUGUAUGAGUGCCUCUACUUCCUAGCUGGUUGGCCGAGGUGGUGGAGCAAAUUGCAGCUGCUCUACAAAUUGGUGAAUGACCAAUGAUAAGAAUCUUGUAGGAGAAAUUCAUGAAAGAAGAAUCGGAUGAGUCGUCUAAAUUGGAGACACCUAGGAAGAAGAGGCUUGUCGAAAAGGGGGUCACAAAUCUCUACUCUUGUUGCAGUGGACCUGUUUCGGGCUGGUAAAUAGUCCCUUGUUAUGAAUCAUGGAAAAGUUAGGAUUUCACUAUAAAUCCAUUUCUGGCCACCAGUUACUACUGGAAGGCCAAGAUGUUGCAGCCUUGCAAUGCUGUUUGUUUAGAGAAUUAGUAGGGACAAAUUUUGAUGAUAUUGUGUGGUUUGCUGAAAGAUGCAUGAGUGUGAGAGACAGUUAAAAAAAAAGGCUGGAUAGAUGAUACCAUCAGCAGUAGUAUGGCAGCUCCGAUUGGCAGAGGAAAACAAUUAUACCUCAUGCCAAAUAUUGAGAAGGUUUCAUUUGUAUUUGUCUGCUGUUAUUCACUUCAAACAAGACCUCCAAUUACCUUGAGGAGGAGAUGAAGCACAAUGCUUUUGUAAAAUGGUUUGAAGACACUGUACUUCAAAACUUAACGAAAACCUCAAACUCUGUAAUUGUCAUGGAUAACACUCUAUAUCAUUCACUUAUACAAGACAAGACACCCACCAUGCCAAUGAAGAAAAAUGACACUGUUUGCUGGCUAGAGAAAUGUGAGAUACAGUUUUACAGUAACUUGACAAGAGCAGAAUUAGUAGAACCUGUCGCAACAUAAGCCAAAGGACUCAGUUUACAUUGUGAAUGAAAUAGCCAAAAAAAUAUGGGCAUAACAAGUUCAGAUAUCCACCCAAUCAUUGCCACUCCAAUGUAAUAGUACUGAUUUGGGCUCAUGUUAAACAUCGUAUUGGCUUUGGAACUAGGCAGUUGAAAGUGACACCAGAAGAUUGGUGAAAGAUAGUGGGUCAUGUCAAGGGAUUGAUACAGGAAGCACAGAACAGUGAAAUGUGUUACAACAGUGCACCGAAGAUUUUAUAAUACUUAUCACUAAGAGGAGCAGCGAUACUGAUAGUUCCACUGACUCUGACUGUUUUAUGCGGUGUCUUUGUAUUGGCUGAUUAGUUUGUAGUGUACAGUGUACUUUAAUGAAUGUCUUGCUUCCAUUAAAUCUUGUGUUUGUGACUUUA